GAUGAACGCUGGCGGCGUGCCUAAUACAUGCAAGUCGAGCGAACAGACGAGGAGCUUGCUCCUCUGACGUUAGCCGCGGACGGGUGUGUAACACGUGUAUAACCUACCUAUCAGACUGGUAUAACUUCGGGAAACCGUAGCUUAUACCGUAUAAUAUAUUGCACCGCAUGUUUCAUUAGUGAAAGACUGUUUUGCUGUCACUUAUAGAUGGAUCCGCGCCGCAUUAGCUAGUUGGUACGGUAACGGCUUACCAAGGCAACGAUGCGUAGCCGACCGGAAGGAGGGGUAGGCCACCCGGGAACUGAGACACGGACAAGACGACUACGGGAGGCAGCAGAAGGGAACCUUCCGCAAUGGGCGAAAGCAUGGCGGAGCAGCGCAGAGUGAGAGAUGAAGGUCUUGGGAGCGUAAAAAUCUGUUACUAGGGAAGAACAAAUGUGUAAGUAAAUGUGCACGUCGUGACGGUACCUAAACAGAAAGCAACGGCUAACUACGUG
rnacentral:rRNA from 1 species